GGUGGAAUGCGUAGAUAUAUGGAAGAACACCAGUGGCGAAGGCGGCUGUCUAGUCUGUAACUGACGCUGAGGCUCGAAAGCAUGGGUAGCGAACAGGAUUAGAUACCCUGGUAGUCCAUGCCGUAAACGAUGAGUGCUAAGUGUUGGAGGGUUUCCCCCUUCAGUGCUGCAGCUAACGCAUUAAGCACUCCGCCUGGGGAGUACGACCGCAAGGUUGAAACUCAAAGGAAUUGACGGGGGCCCGCACAAGCGGUGGAGCAUGUGGUUUAAUUCGAAGCUACGCGAAGAACCUUACCAGGUCUUGACAUCUUCUGCCAAUCUUAGAGAUAAGACGUUCCCUUCGGGGACAGAAUGACAGGUGGUGCAUGGUUGUCGUCAGCUCGUGUCGUGAGAUGUUGGGUUAAGUCCCGCAACGAGCGCAACCCUUAUUAUCAGUUGCCAGCAUUCAGUUGGGCACUCUGGUGAGACUGCCGGUGACAAACCGGAGGAAGGUGGGGAUGACGUCAAAUCAUCAUGCCCCUUAUGACCUGGGCUACACACGUGCUACAAUGGACGGUACAACGAGUCGCGAAGUCGUGAGGCUAAGCUAAUCUCUUAAAGCCGUUCUCAGUUCGGAUUGUAGGCUGCAACUCGCCUACAUGAAGUUGGAAUCGCUAGUAAUCGCGGAUCAGCAUGCCGCGGUGAAUACGUUCCCGGGCCUUGUACACACCGCCCGUCACACCAUGAGAGUUUGUAACACCCAAAGCCGGUGAGAUAACCUUCGGGAGUCAGCCGUCUAAGGUGGGACAGAUGAUUAGGGUGAAGUCGUAACAAGGUAACCAAGGGCGAAUUC
rnacentral:rRNA from 1 species